UACGUAGGGUGCGAGCGUUAAUCGGAAUUACUGGGCGUAAAGCGUGCGCAGGCGGUUUUGUAAGACAGGCGUGAAAUCCCCGGGCUCAACCUGGGAACUGCGUUUGUGACUGCAAGGCUAGAGUAUGGCAGAGGGGGGUGGAAUUCCACGUGUAGCAGUGAAAUGCGUAGAGAUGUGGAGGAACACCGAUGGCGAAGGCAGCCCCCUGGGCCAAUACUGACGCUCAUGCACGAAAGCGUGGGGAGCAAACAGG
rnacentral:rRNA from 1 species